AAAUUGAAGAGUUUGAUCAUGGCUCAGAUUGAACGCUGGCGGCAGGCCUAACACAUGCAAGUCGAGCGGUAGCACAGAGAGCUUGCUCUCGGGUGACGAGCGGCGGACGGGUGAGUAAUGUCUGGGAAACUGCCUGAUGGAGGGGAUAACUACUGGAAACGGUAGCUAAUACCGCAUAACGUCGCAAGACCAAAGUGGGGGACCUUCGGGCCUCAUGCCAUCAGAUGUGCCCAGAUGGGAUUAGCUAGUAGGUGGGGUAACGGCUCACCUAGGCGACGAUCCUAGCUGGUCUGAGAGGAUGACCAGCCACACUGGAACUGAGACACGGUCCAGACUCCUACGGGAGGCAGCAGUGGGGAAUAUUGCACAAUGGGCGCAAGCCUGAUGCAGCCAUGCCGCGUGUGUGAAGAAGGCCUUCGGGUUGUAAAGCACUUUCAGCGGGGAGGAAGGCGAUAAGGUUAAUAACCUCAUCGAUUGACGUUACCCGCAGAAGAAGCACCGGCUAACUCCGUGCCAGCAGCCGCGGUAAUACGGAGGGUGCAAGCGUUAAUCGGAAUUACUGGGCGUAAAGCGCACGCAGGCGGUCUGUCAAGUCGGAUGUGAAAUCCCCGGGCUCAACCUGGGAACUGCAUUCGAAACUGGCAGGCUAGAGUCUUGUAGAGGGGGGUAGAAUUCCAGGUGUAGCGGUGAAAUGCGUAGAGAUCUGGAGGAAUACCGGUGGCGAAGGCGGCCCCCUGGACAAAGACUGACGCUCAGGUGCGAAAGCGUGGGGAGCAAACAGGAUUAGAUACCGGUAGUCCACGCCGUAAACGAUGUCGAUUUGGAGGUUGUGCCCUUGAGGCGUGGCUUCCGGAGCUAACGCGUUAAAUCGACCGCCUGGGGAGUACGGCCGCAAGGUUAAAACUCAAAUGAAUUGACGGGGGCCCGCACAAGCGGUGGAGCAUGUGGUUUAAUUCGAUGCAACGCGAAGAACCUUACACGGUCUUGACAUCCACAGAACUUUCCAGAGAUGGAUUGGUGCCUUCGGGAACUGUGAGACAGGUGCUGCAUGGCUGUCGUCAGCUCGUGUUGUGAAAUGUUGGGUUAAGUCCCGCAACGAGCGCAACCCUUAUCCUUUGUUGCCAGCGGUCCGGCCGGGAACUCAAAGGAGACUGCCAGUGAUAAACUGGAGGAAGGUGGGGAUGACGUCAAGUCAUCAUGGCCCUUACGACCAGGGCUACACACGUGCUACAAUGGCAUAUACAAAGAGAAGCGACCUCGCGAGAGCAAGCGGACCUCAUAAAGUAUGUCGUAGUCCGGAUUGAGUCUGCAACUCGACUCCAUGAAGUCGGAAUCGCUAGUAAUCGUAGAUCAGAAUGCUACGGUGAAUACGUUCCCGGGCCUUGUACACACCGCCCGUCACACCAUGGGAGUGGGUUGCAAAAGAAGUAGGUAGCUUAACCUUCGGGAGGGCGCUUACCACUUUGUGAUUCAUGACUGGGGUGAAGUCGUAACAAGGUAACCGUAGGGGAACCUGCGGUUGGAUCACCUCCUUACCUUAAAGAA
rnacentral:rRNA from 1 species